CGGGCUCUUUUCCGAUCUGCCCUCGUCUCUUAAGAACUGGAAGAAUCGUUUCUUCAUUGUGAGGAGCAAAGAUCCGAGCCGCUUUGAGGACAUCCGAGCCGCUUUGAGGACUUCCCCCGCAGCUGGUGGUACCAGGGACCCUUGCUUCCGAACCAUAUUACCCUGAGCGAAGAGGAAAGUUUGAUAGUGAUGGAUCUGAAGAGUGAGGCUGCCACUAAAAAGUAUUCUUGUUUGGAUUCGGUGACUGCCGAGCUGCACCAUU
rnacentral:misc_RNA from 1 species